rnacentral:rRNA from 1 species
AUUGAACGCUGGCGGCAGGCCUAACACAUGCAAGUCGAACGAGUGGCGGACGGGUGAGUACUGUCUGGGAAACUGCCCGAUGGAGGGGGAUAACUACUGGAAACGGUAGCUAAUACCGCAUACACUCGGAUUUGUCCAGAUGGGAUUAGCUGGUAGGUGAGGUAAAGGCCCACCUAGGCGACGCUCCCUAGCUGGUCUUAGAGGUGGACCAGCCACACUGGAACUGAGACACGGUCCAGACUCCUACGGUAGGCAGCAGUGGGGAAUAUUGCACAAUGGGCGCAAGCCUGAGGCAGCCAUGCCGCGUGUAUGAAGAAGGCCUUCGGGUUGUAAAGUACUUUCAGCGGGGAGGCGUUACCCGCAGAAGAAGCACCGGCUAACUCCGUGCCAGCAGCCGCGGUAAUUC